UUGGGUUAGUGGGUCUCAGUCGAUCGUUUCGGGUUAUUUUCGCGCCCGCUUUUUUUUUCCAGGGUCGCAUGGAGGAUCUGGUCCUUCUUCGUCAUCCAUGGCGACGACGGCGAGCUCGACGCGGCGGCGGCGCGGUCCUAGCGACGGCGGCGGCGAGGUCCUGGCGACGGCGGCGCAGGUUGAUUGGAAUUCAGUUUUGCAAGUCUCUGCAGCGGUCAAUGAAAAAGAAGGUAAUAGCCAUGCUUUUGUGAUGAUUUUGUUGUGUCAAGAUGGAACUAAAAUGCUACCAUAUGCUCAAUUUUAUUUUAAUGUGAAAGUCGUGCUAUCUUGUAAUGAUAGUAUACUACAUAUACUAGUUACUAGCUGUUUGUUUUGAUUCAUGGUGUCCAUGAAUGCUGUAGUCUUGUGUUACAUUCUGCACAUAUGAAAAUCUGCAGCAAUUUGGUACAAGCAGUACCCUGAAUCACAUACUCUGAGGUGUUCCAUGUUAUUUUAUUGUCUCUAUUUCUUUCUCUCUCUUUUUUUGUCACGUAAGUCCCUGUUUCUCGGUCAUUAAGCUUGUACAGCGAGUAUGCAUGCCAGUUUUUGUUGCUUCCCUCGACCAUUAUUUUUCUUCAAAAGUCAGAAUGUUUCAUUGCAACUUUAUAUAGCUUAAGUUGUAGUCUAUGCAACCCCACCUUUGUUUUCGUCUCUAGUGUUUUGUUAAACAUAUACAUUCCCCCCAACCAAUUCAUACGGGCAUUUUUUUUUCUGCGAAUGUAUUGAUACUUAUGCAAAAGCUGUAGUCCCACCAAUUUUUUUCUAUGAGUAGUCUCAAUCAGAUUGCUUGAGGUGGCCAAGUUUCCCUUUUUGGGGGGUUCCUAAUCAGUUGAGCUCUGGCCCAUUCUCAUAUGCUAAUCUUUUCUAGGAAGAUCGCUAGUGUUGCACGAGCAGGGAAUCGUCAAUGUCAUUAUACACUAUUCUAAGGUGCUGGCCAGCUGGCUAGAGAUGUGUGUGGUCACGACCUAGUGGUUUUUGUUCAUUUUCUUCACUCUAAUGUCUUUUGUCCAUUUCUUCCUAAGUCUCCUGUUCUGGUCUCUUAUGUAUCUAUCAUUUUCUCUAUAUAUUCAUUCUAAGAUGAACAACUGACUUCUUACUAUUCUUCUUGCAAAUCAGUUUGUAGUGUCCUACUUAAGUGUCUACCUUUUAAAGUUCAAGUUCAAAACUUAAAAUUGGCUAUCCUUUUGGUAACUAUUCACUCUUUUUUCUUUAGUUUUCAUUUUUUGUAUAUAAAUAGGAGUGUCCUACUUAAGUGGCUCCAGAUAGGCAUGGCUGUUACCGAAUCCUCAUUCUCAUCCGUCUUCAGUCUCGCCCCCUCUAUUUUUUCAGUCUGUACGUUGCUUGUCAUUUUGUAGGUUUGCUAUUUCAUUUUUUUCAUUUAUCUGUUUUCUUGUCAUUCUUCAUUUAUCUGCCUUGUUUUUCUUCAUCUUGUCAUUUAUACAGGAUGGAAAGUCUUCAUUUAAUUUUCCUUGCCAUUCAUCAUUUCUACUUCUUCAUUUUUUGCAGUAUUCAGUCUAUUUUUUUAGUCUGAGUUAGCAUAGCUUUUUCAGCUAAAAAUGAUAGUAGAUUAAUCUCUCAUUUGUCCAACUUAUUUUCAGUACUCUUCAGUCUCCAUGUCGUCUUUUCUUAGUUAUCAGUCCUUAGUUACCUUCAUUCCUUAGUCUUCUUGGUAUUCUUCUCAGUCUUAUUAUUCUUAGUUAUUUUUAUGAGUUCUUCUUUCUAUCAGUCCUCUAUUUCCAUCAGUUAUCUGCUUUGGAUUUAGUAAUCAAGUUCUUCAAGUCAUAUUCAGUGUGCGUUCCUCAGUAUGAUUUUUUCUUUCUAUCAGUCUUCAUUUUAUCAUAUUUAAUUAUCAUUUGCAUCUUUCUUCAGUCCUAUCUCUCAUGGGUCUUGUCUCUUAGUAGAUGAUUAUUUCUGUUGUGAACCUUAUGUUCCUGUAAGUGCUAUAUUUUUUCAGUUUUUUGCACUGGUUUUUUUGUUAGAUUAUUUUCAGUUUUUAGUCGUCAAUAUACCUAAGUAUCAGUCUCAAUUCUCUUCAGCUAUAUGUUAAGUGGUUAUUAUUUCGCCAGUGUUUGUUCAGUAUCUUAAGUGUCUCAUUUUAGUUCUCUUUAGUUAUUUGGUCAGUAUUUGUUCUUGUCUAUCAGUUUUAAGUUCAGUCAUUUAUUAGUGUACUUUCCAUUCAGCUUAUUAUUUUCAAUUUAUUUUGUUUUUCUUGUAUUUUCAGCAUUCAUUUUGAAAUGGGUUAGACUUCAUAUGUGUUUAUAAUUCAUGUAGUUUGAAUUAGUUAUCUGGUGAGUCUCUAUUCUUAAUUUUUCAGUCAUCUUUUUGCUAACAAUUAGUUUUUUUCUGCCACAUGUGUAACAGUAACAGGGAUGGUAUGCCCAAUCUGCAAGUCCGACUGAGCUAGCCAUCACUCAUCGGGUUUAAAUUUUGGUGUUUGAUUGUCUUGAGACAUUGAAAGCUCAGUGGUAACUUAGUUUUGAAUAUGCUUAAUUUAUCAGUAUAGUCUAGUUCCCUGUCAUGGUCAGUUAUUAAUUUAUCACUACAGUCUACUUCUCUGUUAUGGUCAAUUUUUCAUUCAUCACUCAUUUAUAGGAGGCUAUGAUGUGGAAAUUACCACACCUCCCUGUAUGUUUUAUGAUAGCAUGAUAGUUGUCCUGUUCAGUUAAACAUUUCAUUUCUUCUUUAGUUUGUGUAUGAUUUCAUUUUUUUCUUUUCAGAUAUAAACUUAGUCCUUUUAGCUGAUAGAAUUAUAGCAACUUUAGCUUUUUCUUAGAUUUCUUUUUUUCUAAUUUUCGGUCAUUACUUUUUGUUGCAUUCAUUUUCUUUUUUAGUCUAUCAAUUUUUAGAGUUUAGCUAUUUGUCAGUCUCAUCUGCAAGCGUCUCAUGCCCCAACAAGCAUGAGGAUAGCCUAUCUUUUGUUCUUCCUUUCCAUUUUUUUUGCUUUUUUCUGCAGUUUAUCCCAUGUCACUCAAUGGUCGAAUUCAAUUGCGCCACUGGCGACCGCAUGCUUUUUGAGGAAUGUGAGGGGUGCAAAUUCAUCACUGAGAUCAGGAAAGAACACAGGAGGACCUGCAUCUGUGGCGUUGGGUGGGAGGACUUCAUCAGGUUGAACAAUCUCAGUGAGGGAGUUUUGCUCCGUUUUGUACUCGACAGACCAGUGCCAAAGUUGCAGAUUUGCAUGGUUGCGCCACCUCCCAACCAGGCUGAUCUAGCGCUUGAGGCUGCUGUGUUCACGGAAGACCUCAAGAAGAAGGCAAGAGAGAGUGCAAAGCUGAAUGAAACUCUACUGUAUUCAAUCCUUAGUUUUCUGGUCUCCAGUAUAUUCUUGUUGUGGUCAGUUUUGAACUAGAGAAGAAAUUUAAAGGGACAUAUAGCUAAGCGAGACUCUGGUUUGCAUCCAGCACCAUGUUUA